AAUAAGAUUAUUUUUCAGUUUUUUGCUAUAAUAUUUUGACUAUUCGUCUUAUUUAAAUUUUUUUGUAUUUAAUAUUUUUAUUCUUACUAGAUGAUAAAAUAUGAAUAGUAUUUUAUGCGUGACUAAUGUUUUUAUGUUUUUACAAAUUUUUCAAAUAAGACGAAUGGUGAAAUGUUGGACACGAAAAACGAAAAAUGAAGCUAUU
rnacentral:pre_miRNA from 1 species